UUGAAACAUUGUAAAGGAGAGUUGAGCUGGUCCUUCAAGGGCAAGUGCUCGCUUUUCUUUCAAUCUUCAUCCACCUGUGCACCUUUUGUAGAGAGUUCUUGAAGAAAUGGGCCUUUUUGGGUUCAGAGUAUUCUUGGGCUUUUCUAUGUUUUACAAACUCUAAAUGUAUGUCGUUGAAUGUCUUUUAUAAAGGGAAACCUUUUAAAAACUAUA
rnacentral:misc_RNA from 2 species